AAAAUACCAUGAAAUUAAUUAAUAAUUUGGGACACUUUUAUAAACCAAAAAUAACACUAUUUAUCCUCAUUUUCAUCCCAAAAGUCGUGUCCUCCAUAGCCAAGGAAUUCCAAGCUUUCAUCUUCAAAUUUUAGCUCCGUUUCUCAACGUAUUGAAUACUCGAUCGCGCAAUCGGUGUUAAAUCAAGCUACACCCAAAUGUUAGCAAAUGAAAGGAAAAAGGAUCGGCGAAAGAAGAAAUGUCGAAUGGAAAGGUUUGGAAAUAACGUCAUCCAGGUAGCAUGCUCAACACUUAAAUGGCCUAAUUCUCUUACGUGUUUUUCCGUGAUUAUUACGUGACUUAUUGUCUAAAUAAUUUAUGAUUAAUUACUUGAUAAAAUAUUCAUGAAGUAAAAUAUAAGAAUAUGAUGGAUUGCUGAUUGAUUUGAUAAUGAAAUAUGUGCAAAGAGUAUACGUUGUGGAGAUGGAAAUAAAUGUGAUUAAAUGUGAUGAUGUCUGAUCUAUCUAUCUGUGAUGAGGUCUGAUUUGUCUGUCUGUGUUGAUAUAUUAUUAUCUUAGUAUAUUAUGAGUAAUUAUGUGAUAAAAGACUUGUGAAGUAAAACAUGAGAAUAUGAUGAAUUAUUGAAAGAUUUGGUAAUGAGAUGUGAAAAGGGAUGAAUAUGGUUGUGACUGUAGAUAAUGUGGAAAUGAGCAUUAAGAAGGAUAUGAUAAAUGAUAUAUGAUGAUGAGAUGUAUACAAAUAUGAUUAAAUGUGAUGAUGCUUGAUCUAUCUAUCUAUCUAUCUAUCUAUCUAUCUAUCUAUCUAUCUGUGAUGAGGUAUGAUCUGUCUGUGUUGUUGGGAAUCUGGGAUGAUUUUGAGAAUGUCGGAAUUUAAUCUAUAAAUUCGAUAUGAUAUGGUGUGAAAAUAAGUUCUUGAUGUGUUAUAUUAGAAAUAAUUGAGAAUAUGUAUUGAGAUGAAAAUGAGUAAAUUUGAUGGUGUUUACGCCCCGUGCUUGAGUGUAUUCUGUGGGUACAAUUGGCAUGCCAUAGGACAGCAGCGCUGCAUCAUCUGUGAUCUCUCGUCUUCUGGAUAACCGAAGCGAGGAUCGUCUGUUAUCUGAUCUGUCUGAUCUGCACCCUAUGGGUGGUCUGUUCCCGGGAUUAUCUGUCUGCAUCCGAAAUGGAUGGUCUGAUUAUCUGUCUGCACCCUAAUUGGGUGGUCUGUGCAGAGUCCUCUCGAGGACAAAAUCCGCGUUUGUAUCUGAUUCUGAUUUGGUCCGUGUACCCUAGUCUGUCACUAAGCACAUUAAGGGGCCAUGUGUGAAAUUAUGUGAUAAUGUCGAUCAAAAUAUUCGUGAUGAUAUAUGUGACAAUAUGUGUAUGACAACAUAUGAGUUAUAAUAUGAGAUUGUGUGAAACAUCUGUUAUAAUUUGAUAUGAUAAUAUCUUAUACGUGAAAAUGGAUUCUGUUACAUGGUUCUGUUGAGUUUUAUUAUAAAUAUUGAAAAUCUGAGACUUGCAGAUGUAGUUUAUGACAUGUGAAGUUUUGUAUUAUUAUACUCCUCUGAUGACAUAGUUUGGAAAUUUGAAGUCGUGGACGAAGAUUUGACUACUGGUACGGGUAUGUUGAUACGUGUGAUGACGUCUGUGAUUUGUCUAUGUUAAUGUGUGGAUAUCAUUUGGAAUAUUAGAUGCUUCAUAUAAAUGCUGAUGACUGUUGAUAAAUUCUGGGUUUGAUAUUGUCUAUUGUUGGGUUUUGGGCAUGUGUUGGUUAUAGAGGAGAUGCUGCCCAAUUUAUGUUAGAAAUUAAUAAGACAAUAAUAAUAUGAUAUAUGCGGUAAUGAUUGGUAAAUAUAAUAAUAAGAAUUUAAGUUGUAUGAUUAUUGAUUGUUAGAGAAUUGUGGCUGAAGUGUUGAGUGUGCUACAGGUUAAUUGGAUCGUGGAUUCCUUUGGAUAUUUCUUUCGUUUCUUCGCCAGCACUGCAUACUCGGUGGGUCACUGAUCACUGCUUGCGGCGUUUGUGUCCAUUUAUGUUAGAUGUGGCAUGUAUAGUAUUUGAAUAUUUGUAAUAGCUUCCGCUGUGUUUGUAAAUAGUGUUGGAACUUUUGCUGAUAAGUUAAUGAAUUAAGUUUGGUUUUUAA